UCCUUCCCUUUCUGCCCCUCCCCUGCUCUCUCUCUCUCACUCUCUCUCUCUCAAAUAAAUAAAAAAAUUUUUAAAAAGUACCUAAGGAAUACACAUCAUGUAAAAUGUCGAAGAAUGGGGAAAAAAUUACAAAAUUUUAUUAAGGAUAUAAAAGAAGAUCUGAGUAAUGGGUAAAAAGCACUAAAAUGUCAGUUAUGCCUAAUUACCCCUAAAUUUAACUACAUUCCAAACAAAACCCUGCAGAAUUUGUUUGAGUUUCGAAAUCGAUUAUAAAAUUCAUAUGAAAAUUGAAAUUAUGAAAAAAAAUCGUUUUGAAAAAGAACAAUGAGAGCCGAGGAGUCGCCCUGCAGAUAUCAAGGCAUUCAAGUUGCAGAAGUUAAAAUACAGUGGUCUGGGCAGGAGGACAGGUGCCGGAACAGACUAGAGAGCCCACCGCAAAUCCGUGUGCACGCAGGAAAGUGGAACAGGAUAGAGGUUAAAGUACGGAUGAGUGAGAAAAGAAUGGAAGCAUUGGCGCUUCUUUAGAUUCCUAUGCCAAUUAUGCAAAAACAGAUUGAGGGGUGGGGUGGAAUUAAAGAUCUCUACACGAAAACCUGCAACACAGAAACUACUGGAACGUGCAGGAGAACAUCUUUACAACCUAGAGUGAAAAUGCUAGCCGUGAAUUCGCCCCGACCUUCUGGCUAUCCGGGGCACCCUACGCUAGUUCCUACACCCGCAGACCUCCUUUCUCAAGGUAAGCAGGAUUUCCCCAGACUGCUUCCGGGCCAGAGUGGAGCAUGUGACUCAGGCCGGCCAAUCAGACGCCACCGGAGGCCUCGGGCGGAAGUGAGGAAGCAGGCUGGCUCCCUGGAGGCGUGGAGGGGCAGAGGCGGUGCUGGAAAGAUGGCAGAUUCCUGAAAGAGCUAGUUUGUUCUGGGGGUGUUCUUUCAUUGAGGCUGAGGCAUCUUUUCCCAUCACCCCCAAACGUUGUGUGAACUUCUUACUGUCUGUAAAUUUCUUUUCUGCUUAAACCAGUCGGACCGGAUUCUAUUGCUUGCAGCUAAGAGCAAGAACUGACAUAGAGUCCCCCCCCCCCCCUUGGACCUGAAAACAUCUUUAGAACAAAAUAUACCAUAAUCAAAAUUAGACAUAAUAAUACUUUUUAAAAAAUCCUUGGAGAAGACAUUUGCAGGAUCCAUAACAAAGGAAUAAAUAUGUUUAUUUUACCAUAGAAUUUAUAUCUAAUGGAGAAAGCACCUAAAUAAAUAAGAGAAUGGAAACACCCCAACAGGGAAGUGGGAGAAAAAUGAGAACAGGGGCCUGUGACCCACGCAAUGUCCCCGGCGGGGAGGACAGAGCAGAUCGCGAAUGAAGAGAUGACAAGAAUUCCACAAACAAUGGCAGUCGGUGGAACCUAAUAUGCAAGAGAGGAUUUGGGUGGUUCAAGGUGAAAUUAAAUCAUCUGUGUAGAUUCCCACAUCCCCAUCCUCGAAGCCUGUUGGAGAUGAUCUGAUCUCCCAACACUGCUGGGCUCAAGGCUGCCUGAGGCAAAUCCUGUGCCUUUUUAGCUCCAUCCAAAAUAAACCUCGCUCAAAACCUUUCUGGGAGAAGUGCUGUAACCUCUGCUCCAGGAGA